rnacentral:pre_miRNA from 1 species
AGUGGGAUAACUAGGUCAAAUGGUGGUUCUGUUCCAAGUUUUCUAAGAAAUCUCCAUACAGCUUUCCAGAGUGGUCAUACCAAUUUGCAAUCCCACCAGCAAU